UANUCCAUCUAAGGCUAAUACGACCACGAGACCGAUAGCGAACAAGUACCGUGAGGGAAAGUUGAAAANNANUUUGAAGAGAGAGUUCAAGAGUACGUGAAACCGUUCAGGGGUAAACCUAAGAAACCCANNAGAUCGAACNGGGAGAUUCAUCGUCAGCGGCGUUGGCUUCCCGUCNGUGGGCGAUGUNNNGCGAGNUCNCUNGCGGGCACGCUNCCGUGCGCGCACGUCCGACGUCGUCGUCGUGCANUUCUCCCUUAGUAGGACGUCUCGACUCGCUGGNUGUCGGUCUACGGCCNGAGUGCGGUGUCUGUCGCGUCNCCGGUAAAACGGCACGCGUGAAACCCUCGGUCGCUUGGCCGGCUGCCCGGCGGUACUCGCAAGGUAUCAUGCCGCGAAGUU
rnacentral:rRNA from 1 species